rnacentral:rRNA from 1 species
GAUGAACGCUGGCGGCGUGCCUAAUACAUGCAAGUCGAGCGAACGGACGAGAAGCUUGCUUCUCUGGUGUUAGCGGCGGACGGGUGAGUAACACGUGGAUAACCUACCUAUAAGACUGGGAUAACUUCGGGAAACCGGAGCUAAUACCGGAUAAUAUUUUGAACCGCAUGGUUCAAAAGUGAAAGACGGUCUUGCUGUCACUUAUAGAUGGAUCCGCGCUGCAUUAGCUAGUUGGUAAGGUAACGGCUUACCAAGGCAACGAUGCAUAGCCGACCUGAGAGGGUGAGCGGCCACACUGGAACUGAGACACGGUCCAGACUCCUACGGGAGGCAGCAGUAGGGAAUCUUCCGCAAUGGGCGAAAGCCUGACGGAGCAACGCCGCGUGAGUGAUGAAGGUCUUCGGAUCGUAAAACUCUGUUAUUAGGGAAGAACAUAUGUGUAAGUAACUGUGCACAUCUUGACGGUACCUAAUCAGAAAGCCACGGCUAACUACGUG